rnacentral:rRNA from 1 species
AUGACCCCCCCCUGGCCUCUGCUUCUGCACAGACAUCGAUCCUUCUCUACCUGUUCUUCUUUCCAUCGCCGGCCUCUGUGCCCACGUGUGAGAGCAAUGGUAGUUCUCAGGGGAAGAGUUGCAUGGGCAUGCCCGGUGCUGGUGGUGCUGCUGCUGCUGCAACUCGCCGGGGCGUCGCAUGUCGUCUACGAGACCCACCUCCUGGAGACGGAGGCGGCGGCGGCCGACGUGCCGCCUUCAAUUCUUGAUGCCGAGCUGAGUACGGGGUACCACUUCCGGCCGAUAAAGAACUGGAUCAACGAUCCCAACGCGCCCAUGUACUACAAGGGGUGGUACCAUUUCUUCUACCAGUACAACCCCAAGGGGGCCGUGUGGGGCAACAUCGUGUGGGCGCACUCGGUCUCGCGCGACCUCAUCAACUGGGUGGCGCUGGAGACGGCCAUCCAGCCCAGCAUCAAGUCCGACAAGUACGGCUGCUGGUCGGGCUCGGCCACUAUCCUGCGCGACGGCACGCCGGCGAUCAUGUACACGGGCAUCGACCGCGCCGACAUCAACUACGAGGUGCAGAACAUCGCCUUCCCCAAGAACAAGUCGGACCCGCUGCUCCGCGAGUGGGUCAAGCCCAAGAGCAACCCGAUCAUCGUGCCGGAGGGCGGCAUCAACGCCACCCAGUUCCGGGACCCGACCACCGCGUGGUACGCCGACGGCCACUGGCGGCUGCUCAUCGGCGCCCUCUCGGGCGCGUCCCGCGGCGUGGCGUACGUGUACCGGAGCCGCGACUUCAUGCGGUGGACGCGGGUGAGGAAGCCGCUGCACUCGGCGCCCACGGGGAUGUGGGAGUGCCCGGACCUGUACCCGGUCACGGUGGACGGCCGGCAGAACGGGCUCGACACCUCGGUCACGUCCAGCCCCAAGGUGAAGCACGUGCUGAAGAACAGCCUCGACCUGCGCCGCUACGACUACUACACCGUCGGCACCUACAACCGGAAGACCGAGCGGUACGUGCCGGACAACCCCACCGGCGAUGAGCACCACCUGCGGUACGACUACGGCAACUUCUACGCCUCCAAGACGUUCUACGACCCGGUCAAGCGCCGCCGUAUCCUGUGGGGCUGGGCCAACGAGUCCGACACCGCCGUCGACGACGUCGCCAAGGGAUGGGCCGGAAUCCAGGCGAUUCCGAGGAAGGUUUGGCUGGACCCGAGUGGGAGGCAGCUGAUGCAGUGGCCUGUGGAGGAGCUUGAGGCGCUCAGGGGGAAAAAGCCGGUCAGUCUCAGGGACGGGGUGGUGAAGCGGGGAGAGCACGUCGAGGUCACCGGGCUACGAAGCUCACAGGCUGACGUCGAGGUGAGCUUUGAGGUGCCGAGCCUGGAGGGAGCGGAGGCGCUGGACCCCGCGUUAGCCAACGACGCCCAGAAGCUGUGCAGCGUGAAGGGUGCCGACGUGGAAGGUGGCGUGGGCCCUUUUGGUCUGUGGGUGCUCGCCUCGGCCAAGCUGGAGGAGAAGACGGCGGUCUUCUUCCGGGUGUUCAAGGCCGCGCGCAACAUCAACAGCACCAAGCCGGUGGUCCUCAUGUGCUCCGACCCCACCACGUCAUCUUUGAACCCGAACCUCUACAAGCCGACGUUCGCAGGCUUUGUUGAUACUGACAUAGCGAAGGGCAAGAUAUCUCUGAGGAGCCUGAUUGAUCGGUCCGUGGUCGAGAGCUUCGGGGCAGGAGGCAGGACAUGCAUCCUCUCACGGGUCUAUCCGACCCUCGCCCUAGGCAAGAACGCUCAUCUUCACGUUUUCAACAACGGCAAGGUGGACAUCAAGGUGUCACAGCUCACGGCGUGGGAGAUGAAGAAGCCAGCACUCAUGAACGGUGCUUAG